rnacentral:lncRNA from 1 species
AGCCAGCCAUAACGACUAAACCCCAAAUGAAAGUUAAACAAAAUGAAGGAGUAAUAAGUUCCACAAUACGAUAACAAAUUCAGAGUGUUUGCAGCGGAAAAACGUGUGAGUUAUGCAUAUGGAGAUGCAUACUCAAGGUUUCAUUACAUAACAUCAAAAGGGAAAUCCGCUCAACACCGAUCCAUUCCAUCGCCUGCUCAACCUGCACAUUUAGAAAUACAUGCAGGGCUGAGUAUAAAAAUACUCAGUGACAUAAGCCGAAAAUACAACAUGCAUACAUAUAUAAAUUGAACUGCCAUAACAGUAACACACAGGGGUUUUCAUAAAUGACCUGCGCUUACUAAAACAUUUCAUUCAUUUUCAUAAAGGUGGAUGCAUCCCAUUUUCAGUCUAUAUGAUCCAUAUCUGUCCUUUCUGUCACGCGCCGGGAAGGAGGCCUCCUUACCACGGACGCCAAGACCGGUCGCAAGCGACUCGCGGUCUCCAUGAGUGUACACGUUAACCCUAGCUAGCGACCUUUGUCUAGCAUAGGAUCCCAAUUGGAUUUCCUUUAAAGUUGGCGAACCAACACAGAUAGGAUACAUAUAAAAACAUAAACAUUUUGGCAGUCAAUCAUUUCAUAAACAUUUCAUUUUCAUAACAUUUUCAUUUUCAUAAAGGGCAUUAAACAUAUAAGCAUUUCAUAAGAACUGAAUAAAUAGUCAAAACAUAUCAUGCAUAUAUAUUCGCAUAUGAGGCCUACGUCACGCAGGGGAUCUCUAUAUACGUAAUAAUAAAAUAAUGCCCACCUCAAUUGUUCUUAAAGCUGGCGUGGAGUCGUUUCUUCUUCUGCUUCACUUUCUGUCGCCCGG